rnacentral:rRNA from 1 species
AUGAACGCUGGCGGCGUGCCUAAUACAUGCAAGUCGAGCGAACAGAUGAGGAGCUUGCUCCUCUGACGUUAGCGGCGGACGGGUGAGUAACACGUGGAUAACCUACCUAUAAGACUGGGAUAACUUCGGGAAACCGGAGCUAAUACCGGAUAAUAUAUUGAACCGCAUGGUUCAAUAGUGAAAGACGGUUUUGCUGUCACUUAUAGAUGGAUCCGCGCCGCAUUAGCUAGUUGGUAAGGUAACGGCUUACCAAGGCGACGAUGCGUAGCCGACCUGAGAGGGUGAUCGGCCACACUGGAACUGAGACACGGUCCAGACUCCUACGGGAGGCAGCAGUAGGGAAUCUUCCGCAAUGGGCGAAAGCCUGACGGAGCAACGCCGCGUGAGUGAUGAAGGUCUUCGGAUCGUAAAACUCUGUUAUUAGGGAAGAACAAAUGUGUAAGUAACUAUGCACGUCUUGACGGUACCUAAUCAGAAAGCCACGGCUAACUACGU